CAAUCUUUGACGCGCGCGAGUGAACACGUCAGACUACAUCGAUCGUCGUUUUGGAUUUUGUCAAAUAAAAAAUAGCAAUCUAAAAAGAACAAGAAAUAACUCGCGCUGCGAUCGUCGUGAGUAGCGAUGGUGUUGCAUUAAUUUGAAAGACUUGAUGAAGCUACAGGCCACAUUGCGGAGGUAGUUCCAGUUCCGAUGAAUGCUGUACCGGAGGAUCCGGUUCGAGCCAAGCAGGGUCGGCUCGAAGUCUGUAAGCGGAAUGUGGCCGGCCCUGACACGGUGAGUCAAAAAUAUAGGAACAACAAUUGUACGGUGAUGGAUAUAGACAUGUAUCAUGUUAGAUUCAUAGGUGGGUUUUUGUAGAAUCCGUUGAAAUCAG